CAAAAUGAAGCAAGAUAAAUAUUGUUUUUGAUUUCAAAUAUAUAUGCUAUACCAUUUGAGCUUAUAUUGGCUGUUCACAGUGACCUUUCAAUGAUACAUUUUACAUUUUAGCAAAGUCAAACAAUUUUUGAAACGUGCAAUCUUAUAUCAGAAUUACUUACACAAAGAUUUAGAACUUCACGUACAAUUAAAUUUCUGAAUGCCUACUUUUCAC
rnacentral:lncRNA from 1 species